rnacentral:rRNA from 1 species
AUCUAAACUCGGUUAUGAUGGGUUUUACGAAAUAUAAGCUGUAUCAUAAAAAUUUUAUUAGAAAUUAAUUUUUUAGUAAAAAAGCUAAAAUAAAAUUAAAAGACGAGAAGACCCUAUAGAGUUUUAUAUAAUUUUAAAAAUAAUUUAUUUAUAAAAUUUAAUUUUUUUUUUAAUUUUAUAUUUUGUUGGGGUGACAAUAAAAUUUUACAAUCUUUUAUUAUUUUUUAACAAAGAUUUUUGAAUAAUUGAUCCAUUUUUAGUGAUUAAAAGAUUAAAUUACCUUAGGGAUAACAGCGUAAUUUUUUUGUAGAGUUCUUAUCGAUAAAAAUUUUUGC